rfam:Rattus norvegicus chromosome 9, whole genome shotgun sequence.
GGGGAUUUAGCUCAGUGGUAGAGCGCUUGCCUAGCAAGCACAAGGUUCAGUCCCCA